rnacentral:rRNA from 1 species
GCCUGAGAAACGGCUACCACAUCCAAGGAAGGCAGCAGGCGCGCAAAUUACCCACUCCCGGCACGGGGAGGUAGUGACGAAAAAUAACGAUACGGGACUCUUUUGAGGCCCCGUAAUCGGAAUGAGUACACUCUAAAUCCUUUAACAAGGAUCCAUUGGAGGGCAAGUCUGGUGCCAGCAGCCGCGGUAAUUCCAGCUCCAAUAGCGUAUAUUAAAGUUGUUGCGGUUAAAAAGCUCGUAGUUGGAUCUCAGUUCCAGACAGGCGGACCGCCUUUCGGCGUGUUCUGCUUGGACUGAACAUCCUGUCGGUUGUCCCUCGGUGCUCUUUAUUGAGUGUCUUGGGUGCCCGGCACGUUUACUUUGAAAAAAUUAGAGUGCUUAAAGCAGGCGUUUUGCCAGAAUAAUGGUGCAUGGAAUAAUGGAAUAGGACCUCGAUUCUAUUGAGUUGGUUUUCGGAACACGAGGUAAUGAUUAAGAGGGACAGACGGGGGCAUUCGUAUUGCGGCGCUAGAGGUGAAAUUCUUGGACCGUCGCAAGACGAASUACU